CUCAGCCCUAGAGGCGGUGCAGUGCAGGUAAAGGAGCCGGCUGCCUGGCAACCCACUUUGGAUCUUAAACCCCUGGCCAGGCACCCAACGUUCUGCCCUCAGCAGCCAGGUGUCCAGCUCCUUGAGUCCGCCCCCCACACAUCUGAUCUGUCUCCCAAGUCCGGUAGCUUGAAAUCUCUUUCUGAGAGUGUGCUUUUCUCAUCUGUUAAGUGGGGGAUCGGGACACGGAAUUGAUCCACUUGGUUCCUUCCGCAAAGUGGAUGGGAACGAGAGGACCCGUCAAUCGCAAAGACGCAAAACCAAACCAGCAGAGGAAGGGUCCCCUUAAUUCUGUGGGAGGAAGCAGAGCAAGACAGCUGAGAUGUUGGGAGGUGGGGCCUCGGCAGCCUGGAUCUCUUUGGAUGUAAAAUACGAUAAGUAACACCUUCUCUUUGGGAUUGUUGGAAGACCAAAAGGACAAUGUGGGGAUUUGCCGACCCGGCCCACGGUGGGUGCCCAAGGAUGGCAGGCAAGUUUUGAAGCCCGGUUCUUGGGGGAGUCUAACUAGUUUUUAUAUUGGAUCCAGUCCUAGCUGGGCAGGAAACUUGCUGUCCAGCACACAAACCCUGAUAUUCUUUCGAGCCCCGGGAUCCCGAACGCGGUCGGGGCGGGAGGUUGGGGGGGGGGGGCAGGCACUCUGCUGGCCCUUGCAACUGCCUUGAUCACCUGUAACUAUCCAGGGUUUUCAGGCUGGCUUGGGGUAACACCGCCCAGCCCCAUCAAAGAAAUGCAGCGUGAACAGUCCCACACCUCUUGGCUCCUGUCUCUCAAGGAACAUGCAAGUGAAUCUAAUUAAUGACCUUCAGUAUCUUCUGUGCUUUUUUAUUAUCCCAUCCACAGUUCCUGGAGCCUUCCGGUCACUUACAAUUCAAACAAAAGAAACACCAAAAAGCUAGCUCGUGUGUCAUGGGCUCCUUUUCUCUGUCUCGGCACCAGAAGGUUCUAGAAACCGUUUGCAGACUCUCCUCAGGGACUCAGAAGGUCAGGGCGAGAGAAGGGUGGAGAGAAAUUGGGUUGCAUGUAUCGGUAGUGAGAGUGGAGAUCCUGAGGAAUAUAUCUGCUGCUUCUGCCGGUCUCUCUCCCUCAGUCAUCAAGUGCCGUCGCCGAGCACUUCUCAAACGGUCCCGAACGCACACGCACACGCACACACACAAACACACACGCCAGGAGAGUCUUGUUAACAAGCCCGUGGUCCUGCGUUUCCAGCAUGCUCACGGGACCCUAAUGCUGCUGAUCUGGAGACCUCGCUUUGAGCAGCGAGACUGCGGGUGGCGUCUGAACCUGACGGUCCGUGGGCUAUUAUUCCGUAUAGGAUGCCGGGACGGCUGGGUAGCCAUCCAGAAAAAGUAACGUCAGACUUAUACUCCCAAUUCCUGCACUAGGACGGAUACGAAGAAGUGUGAUCUGUGCUCGAGGUGGAAAUGCAAAAUGAUGAACAAUUGAAAGGACAACGGGCAAAGAAUAGAGACACUCAGUAACUUGACCAAACUCACAAGAAGCCGGUGCGUGAACCGGAAUGAGAAACCAUUAAUCUGCAAUGGGAAAUACUCCUUUGCGAUGACAGAACACGCAUGUCUGCCAUCCCAGGCACCUCGCUGCACAGAUCAAGAUGCCCGUGACGUUCCGUGAGGGAGCCCGGUGGGGCGCCUGGCUGGCUCCGUCAGAAGAGCAUGGGACUCUCGAUGAUCUCAGGGUCGUGAGUUCAGACCCCAUGUUGGGCAUGGAGCCUACUUUAAAUAAAUAAAUAAAUAAAUAAAUAAAUAAAUAAAUA
rnacentral:lncRNA from 1 species